CCUUCGGGCGCUGACGAGUGGCGGACGGGUGAGUAACGCGUAGGAAUCUGCCUUAUAGUGGGGGACAACGUGGGGAAACCCACGCUAAUACCGCAUACGCCCUACGGGGGAAAGGAGGGGAUCUUCGGACCUUUCGCUAUGAGAUGAGCCUGCGUUAGAUUAGCUAGUUGGUAGGGUAAAGGCCUACCAAGGCGACGAUCGAUAGCUGGUCUGAGAGGACGAUCAGCCACACUGGGACUGAGACACGGCCCAGACUCCUACGGGAGGCAGCAGUGGGGAAUAUUGGACAAUGGGCGAAAGCCUGAUCCAGCAAUACCGCGUGUGUGAAGAAGGCCUUAGGGUUGUAAAGCACUUUCAAUUGGGAGGAAGACCUGUCGGUCAAUACCCGGCAGCUUGACAUUACCUUUAGAAGAAGCACCGGCUAACUCCGUGCCAGCANCCGCGGUAAUACGGAGGGUGCGAGCGUUAAUCGGAAUUACUGGGCGUAAAGCGUGCGUAGGCGGUUCGUUAAGUCAGAUGUGAAAGCCCUGGGCUCAACCUGGGAACUGCAUUUGAAACUGGCGGACUAGAGUUUAGUAGAGGGGAGUGGAAUUUCAGGUGUAGCGGUGAAAUGCGUAGAUAUCUGAAGGAACACCAGUGGCGAAGGCGACUCCCUGGACUAGAACUGACGCUGAGGUACGAAAGCGUGGGUAGCAAACAGGAUUAGAUACCCUGGUGGUCCACGCCGUAAACGAUGUCGACUAGCCGUUGGUCCUAUUUACAGGAUUAGUGGCGCAGCUAACGCAUUAAGUCGACCGCCUGGGGAGUACGGCCGCAAGGUUAAAACUCAAAUGAAUUGAGCGGGGGCCCGCGCAAGCGGUGGAGCAUGUGGUUUAAUUCGAUGCACGCGAAGAACCUUACCUACCCUUGACAUCCAGAGAAUC
rnacentral:rRNA from 1 species